rnacentral:rRNA from 1 species
GGAUCGUAAAGCUCUGUUGUUAGGGAAGAACAAGUGCCGUUCAAAUAGGGCGGCACCUUGACGGUACCUAACCAGAAAGCCACGGCUAACUACGUGCCAGCAGCCGCGGUAAUACGUAGGUGGCAAGCGUUGUCCGGAAUUAUUGGGCGUAAAGGGCUCGCAGGCGGUUUCUUAAGUCUGAUGUGAAAGCCCCCGGCUCAACCGGGGAGGGUCAUUGGAAACUGGGGAACUUGAGUGCAGAAGAGGAGAGUGGAAUUCCACGUGUAGCGGUGAAAUGCGUAGAGAUGUGGANGGANACACCAGUGGCGAAGGCGACUCUCUGGUCUGUAACUGACGCUGAGGAGCGAAAGCGUGGGGAGCGAACAGGAUUAGAUACCCUGGUAGUCCACGCCGUAAACGAUGAGUGCUAAGUGUUAGGGGGUUUCCGCCCCUUAGUGCUGCAGCUAACGCAUUAAGCACUCCGCCUGGGGAGUACGGUCGCAAGACUGAAACUCAAAGGAAUUGACGGGGGCCCGCACAAGCGGUGGAGCAUGUGGUUUAAUUCGAAGCAACGCGAAGAACCUUACCAGGUCUUGACAUCCUCUGACAAUCCUAGAGAUAGGACGUCCCCUUCGGGGGCAGAGUNGANCAGGUGGUGCAUNGGUUGUNCGUNCAGNCNUCGNUGUCGUGAGAUGUUGGGUUAAGUCCCGCAACGAGCGCAACCCUUGAUCUUAGUUGCCAGCAUUCAGUUGGGCACUCUAAGGUGACUGCCGGUGACAAACCGGAGGAAGGUGGGGAUGACGUCAAAUCAUCAUGCCCCUUAUGACCUGGGCUACACACGUGCUACAAUGGGCAGAACAAAGGGCAGCGAAACCGCGAGGUUAAGCCAAUCCCACAAAUCUGUUCUCAGUUCGGAUCGCAGUCUGCAACUCGACUGCGUGAAGCUGGAAUCGCUAGUAAUCGCGGAUCAGCAUGCCGCGGUGAAUACGU